GUCCCUAGCAGUUGCUCCUCUGGAGCUGUCUCAUGGGCUCUGCGCUACUGCUUGAUAAGCAAAAUGGCUUUUUCAAGGUUUCCUUAGUGGCCCUGAGUGAACCCGGGGAGUUCACCACCCACGAGGGAAUCUCUCCUAACAAUAAAACAAGUUCUGUAAGGCUCCCUGCGUAUCUGGGAACUGUCUGGUCCAAGCCUUGCUCGCUUGGCUGUAGUUAACUUUGUGUUUCGACUGCCUUAUCUGUUUUCUGCAGCCCUAACUGAACACUUAACAAUUUCUAGCUGCCUCCCAGUUUCCAGGAAAGGCUCCUCUUGGGCUUUCAUGAUUUUUCACUCCCUGCUGAGACGGUGUUUGCAGCUUCCUGGGGCUGUGGCCCCUCUUCUGGUGUUGCCUGUGCUUGUGCUGGGGAUGCUCGGCAUGGGCAGGGAAGGGUCCUGUUGCAGGCGUCAGGGAAUUCACCCUGAAACCGCGGUGACCUCGGUAAGGGCUCGGUGCCCUUCCUACGACCAGGCUGUGCUGAACAUCCGCACGUGGGUGGGCGCCGAGGGGUGGGGAGGCGAUGUGGUUUAGUUCUUGGCUGGGCGGCUGGCCCUUGGAAUUGGCUAUUUCUAUAAAUAAUCCUGUGUAUUAAUUAGAGCUGGACCCUUGCACGCCUGGGGAGGGAGAGAAUGAGUUCGGGGAACAAAACGAGCAGGAAGGAAAAAGUAAUGUCUGUUAACAACACUGAAUUAGCUCCUAAUUAUAGAGAGGGGAGCGAGUGGCAAGUGUGGCUUGUGGGAUGAAUGCAGAUGGGCUGGGCACGGUCACCGCAUCCUUAACACACGCCUCGGAUCCCAGGCUGCCGUCUCAUCGACCCGGGGAGCGGUGCAGCAGCAGAACUGGGUUUUGCAGCGUCUUUCAGUCCCGGGUUGUCUUGAACGGGAGAUUUCGAGAUUGUCCCGUCAGGGGUGCAGGGAGCUGGGCCUGCUGCUCCCAAGCUGCUUUAGUCACUGUCCCCUUACAGCCCUGCCAGCAUUGUAGCCUGUUUUUAUUAAGUUCCUGGUUGGAUUUCAUGGGAUUAGGGUUUUUGCUAGAGGAUCCCUGCCUUUUGCUUGUGAUGUGCCCAUCACAUUUAAUGAGGAGCCUUGUUAGAGCACAGCUCCUCUCAGGGAACUGUGGGCAGGUUAGGCACAAACCUGGAGAAGCGGAUAAAAAUGAGAAGCUUCAGGCUGAAAAAGGAAACUGUCUUGAUAAUGAAGUGUAUUAAGCUGUGAAUUACCUUCCCAAAGAGAGUAAGGAGCUCAUCCUCUGACAUUUAAAUUUGCAAGCCGGUGUGGGGUCAGCAGGCAUGAUAUUCCUGACCCUGCGGCCUUGGAUUUUUGCUGAAGAACCAAUUUGAGAUUUUCCAGUUGUAUUUAAUGUGACUGGGCUGCCCAGAGGCAUCAGUAAUGUGGGUGCCAGAAAUGGAGCGUAAACCUGCGCCCCAUGCGUGCCCCGCGCCUCUGGCCAGCUCCGGCGCUUUGCCGGGCAGGGACAGUCUCUCGUAGGGGUCAAUUAAAAAGAAAACCGAGAAAAAGCUUUUCUGUCCCAGCUCUUCCCACAUGGCAAGCCGUCGUCAAAAGGAUAAUCUGUGGCGGACUGAAAAGUUGGGAUUAAUGUCAAACAAAAUUGGAUUUACUGUUGAAAUCUGCUACCCGAGGGAGCCGCGCUGAGUUGUAUCCAGCUCUCCUCUAUCUGACGUUCAGCAAACUGCUGCGCUUGUACCGUGUCUGAUGCUGCCAGGGACUUUUCUGCUGCCACCUCGGCAGAGUCCUGCUGGCCGCAGGGUCGUCCCUGGAGGUGAUGCUGUGUGUCGGCAGAGGUGGGCUCACCUAGCUGUGAAGUAGAGAGGUGUAUUGCCACCUGAAUCCCGCCCUGCUUUGGCCAGCUAAGGAUGUCGUGGUGGCUCCACGUCUGGUUUUGAUGACCCAACAGUAAUUAAGGUACUUCUCUGGUGUGGAAUAAAUCAGGAGCAAAUUCCACAGCUGACAGCAACUGCUGGAGUCUGGCAGCUCCUUUUUCCACCCUUCCGUCUCCACGCUUGCCAUCACCCAGCAGAAUAAAAAGCACCUGCACAACGUCCAGAGCUGUGUGCCCUUGCCCGCUGUGAUACGGAGCGAUGCUUUUUGCACUGAAGUCCCUUUAGUCCCACAGAUGCUGAAGCUGUCCUCUGCUAAUACUUUUCUGCCAGCGAAGAAAUCAGCCCUUUCCACCUCACGGCCAUUUGCGUCACCGUAAGGAAAUGCUAUGAUCGGAGAAGGCAACGGAUGAAGAGUCCGGCAGGGAAAAAUCUCUCUCAUAAGGUCAAGUUCCCCAAGUUCACGUUGCCAAAUACCUGGCCCAUGACGUGGUUAUUUUGCAGGUGGAGAGUCACGCUUGGUGCCUGUUCAGUCCUGGGCUGGUUGCUGGCAACCGUUGUGCCUAACUCCAGGCAGGAAUACGUUUCUAUAUUUUAUUAUAUUAUUAUAUAUAUUAUGAGGAAUACAUAGAUUUAACAAUGUGAGGGUUUGUGCUAGAGAGAGGACAGGGGCAUAAAAUUGUUUUUCUCAGGGAUUUAAUGAUUAAAGAUAACUGUCCAUCACCGCUCGGUGUAUUGUCUUCCACCCUGUCUUGUGUAUCCGUGUCUGUCCAGUUCACUGACAUUUCUUUUUGCUGAAAGGAAAAAAGACCCAACAGCAAGCAAGCAACAUUUUCCAAAGCCAAUUACCAGCUUUCUACAUUGUUGUAACUCACUGUUACAGGAUGCAAUCGCAAAGAAUUCCCUGUUUAUACAGCGAACAUGUUUAAUACCUUCAGCAUUGUGCUUGGACUACAACAGUGGAGAAGAAGAGCACCAUUUGAUUUUUGGCAUUCGGAGCUGCUGGUUUGGUAUUCCCCUUUGGAUGAGGGAGCGGGACAGGUUAGGAUCCUUUGCUGUUCCAAAAAUCUCGUUUCAUGUGUCAUCUUUUUUACCGAUUCCCAUGUUAUGCCUGCAAAGCCUUAUUUCAGUGUACCUAAAACCCAGGCAGUUGGCUGUUUGCAGUGCAACGCCGGGAAUGGGUAUUGAAGCUCAGUGGUUUCAAAGCACGCAGGAGAAAUUACUUUAACCUGGAUGAUUCGGGAGGGUGCGUCAGCCACCGGCAGCAGAGACAGCUCUGGUGACGAGGAGCACUCGCUGAGCUAAAAUUUGGCAUCCACAACCUGGUGUCUUUGAAUUUCUAAACCAGGGUCAUUGCAGUCAGCCACUCGCAGAAAGAAAAGGGUUUUAAACAUGUUCCCUCUGGUCUCCACACUGAGCUCCAGGGUGUAUGUCAGAUUUUUCCUCUUUCCUCUGGGGCUUUUCCUAUUGCUUUUGCAGAAAUAGCUAACAUCCUUGCCAGGCACUGGUGCUGAAGUAAAUGCAUUAACGCUGCCAGUCGCCUUGCUGGCUGGUAGCCAUGACCCUGUAUCUAACGGGAAUAAAGCCUUCCGAAACACGGCAGGAGUAAGCAGUGCCAUGGACGGCUGCUUUAAUGUCAGCACAAGGCAUAAAACCAGUUUUGCUUCUGCUCCUCUUUGUUUUCAGCCUUCUCUAUGAUGGAGGAGAAUCACCGCAGACCAUUCUUUUGCUUUUAGCUGCAUUUCUUUUUCAUGCAGAAGCAUGAGCGUCCUUGGGACGUUUCUUUCAUCACGGGCAGGAUUUUGAAAGAGCCAAAAGAAAAUGUCUCCAAUGGAUCUGUUGCAUCUAACAAGGCUGAGGUAUUUUGGUGGAGUUGGUAUUCCACAUGUACCUGCUCAGAGCUUAUCAGAGUGUCGUCUUAUUGAGGGUCUGAGCUGUACUGAAAAAGCGCCUUAUAAUCAGAGACUCCCACGUUGUUUUUGAGGACUCACACCUAUACUCUCUUGGUGGGGGCUGCUUGUGGUUUUAGAGGUGCUUACUCAGUUGCACACACUGUUUGGGAGCAGGGACUGGAGCCCAGGUCAAACUGAGCAAGGUGAUUUUCCCAAGAUUUUGGUGCCAGCUGGAGGAAACUUCACGAGGUAGGUCCUUCAAUGGGAUUUUUUGCCUUUGGGGUGCUUCUGAGCGGACCACGGAAACAGUUCUUGGAUCAAAACCUAGCCAAAACCCCAUGACCAAGGACUGAGAGGUAAAUAGAAUGAGUUUGUAAAAUCUUUUGAAAGCCUUGAACUAUAAAAAUGCAACAAGCUAUUAAAACGAAACCGUAGCUUCCCCCUUACCUGGUUCACACAGUUAAAAUGCUCAGCCCUCUGCUUAACAGGGUGUGCAUGAGCAGUGUGUGUUUUUUUAUCCUGCAGUCGCAAGAAAGUUUAUCUUGGGUUUUUUGGGCAGAGUUUAUUUGUGGAUGAAGCCAAAUCAAUACCAGCUUGCUUUCCUAAGAACUUUUUAUUAAAAGACCAAAAGAAAUAAGGGCAUGAACCUCUCAGCUGUAAUGUUAAUCAGUGAUGGAGCUCAGCGGUACAGCAAGGAGUAGUCUCCUGGGAUGGAUAGGAUGAAGGUCCCAGAUGUCCUCAAGGUAGGAUGUAUCCCACUGCAGACAUGUUUAGGUCUGGACCCCCCUCCUGUAGCUCCCAGGUAGAGGCUGAGUGGUCCUGGAUCCCUCUGCCUGGUGCAGGAGUAGGGGUCUCCAAGGGCUGCAUUGCACCCAGGGGUGCCCCAUCAGACCAGGUGAGGAUGUAGGAUGGGGCAGUGUCUGCGUUCCCUCUCCUUGCUCACAGCCUGGCUCAGUUCUUCAACAUCUUUUGCAGAUCAACCCAAGACUCUGAACUCCCUGGCAUCAAACAAGGCUUUCCCCAGUGAAUCUGGUGGGGCAGGAUUUUGGUGUGAAUCCUGUCAGUGCAUUUGGUUUGUCUGGAGCGUGUCUACCCUUUCUACUGUUUUCUUUCUGCAGGUGGAUGUAAAACUUUUAGCUUUUAAGUGCAAGGCUUAGAUGGUGUCUGCGUGCAACAGCAAGAUGAAUAUCUGGAGAAAACCACAGUGGUUUUUUAUUUGUGUGCUUCAGGCAUGACUUUGCUUUUUAAUAGAGCUGCCUCCUGUGCUCUCUGUUGGAAAAAAUGCACCCAAAAAGGCUGUUCCUGUGUCCAGGAGAAGUCUGCCCUGGAAAUGAGGAUUACAAUUUAAAAGAUGCUUCACCUAAUUGCCCAGGCAGGCAGCGAGGCAGGUAGCAUGGACCUGAGCCCGCCGCGCCAGAGCCUGCUGCUGCUGGAGCUGGGGAAGCCAGGCAAUGCUCAGAGCAGAACUGGUUUUCAUGGUCGCCCUCAGGUUUUCAAUGAGAUUUUAGGAAAGAGAUUGAAGUUUCUCUGGCCACCAGGAGUCAGCUUCCUUUUGGGGAGCCCCUGGAAAGGCUGUGUUUCCAGCUGGCAGCCCUGCUUCCUUGCCCCCUCAUUGCCAUCGAGGUUGUCUCCAGUCCCAGUUCUGUACUGGUUUGUGUUGGGAGAUGACAGGAGAAGGGCUUCAAUGAAAAGAGGUUGGCUCAAAGGGCUGCUGCUGGCUCUAGGCCACUGCAAAAGAGAGAUCAAUGCAGCUCCAUGCGAGAUGCUUGUUGCACCGACUCCUGCGUGUCCCUUGGCGAAGGGCUUUUAAUCAGCGCUGGGAAGGGACGUUGGGGAACUUGGCAUCGGGCAGGUCAGGCUUGAUGCAUCCCGGGGAUCCGGGGCUGAUCCAGCUCCU